CGCGGGGUGGAGCAGUUGGCAGCUCGUCGGGCUCAUAACCCGGAGGUCGCAGGUUCAAGUCCUGUCCCCGCAACCA
rnacentral:tRNA from 1 species